GACGAACCGUACGAACGUUAUUCGGAAUUACUGGGCUUAAAGGGUGCGUAGGCUGUGCAGCAAGUUGGGUGUGAAAUCCCCCGGCUCAACCGGGGAAUAGCGCUCAAAACUACUGUGCUAGAGGGAGACAGAGGUAAGCGGAACUCAGGGUGGAGCGGUGAAAUGCGUUGAUAUCCUGAGGAACACCGGUGGCGAAAGCGGCUUACUGGGUCUCUUCUGACGCUGAGGCACGAAAGCUAGGGUAGCAAACGGG
rnacentral:rRNA from 1 species